UGAAUGAUAGAAUGAAGAGAUACCGACUUCCCUGGAGCCUCCAAACUUGAGUAGUCAGGCAUUGGGAUCCAUGGAAGGCUUGUUAAAUCCAAAUAGAUUGGUCCUACUCCAUCCUCAGAGUUGCUGACGAGGUGCAUCCAGGCCUUCUCCUCACCUCUCAGGGAGAUAUACCAUGCAGUGCCUUCAGUUAUGGUGUUGUGACUGAGGAUGCUUCGGUCAGACAUGUCCCUGAAAACCUGCAUAGAGCUGCACUUCAAGGGAAGUUAUUGAAUAUGUCCUAUCUAACUAAAACAAGGAAAUUAUGAAAAAAAUAAAAUCACUUUCCAGAGGCCUCAGGGCUAACUGGAGACAGAACUCAGACUGCAACUGAGAAAAGUUGGACUGCAAAAUCUGUACUCUGAGCUUUACUGCAUGAGAAAGUUAUUGAAAUGUGCCUUGUGACAUUCAGAAUAAGUGACUUUUCAGAGGUCUCAGAGUCAGUAAGAGACAGAACUCAGAUUGUAACCAAGAAGAGCUGAACUCCAAACUUCUGGUCAGGUCUGCUCAGCAACUCAGUAUGCUGACUUUAUUUCCUGAGAGAGAAACAGAGAGAAGAAAAGAAAGAGGAGGA
rnacentral:lncRNA from 1 species